UUUAUGGAGAGUUUGAUCCUGGCUCAGGACGAACGCUGGCGGCGUGCCUAAUACAUGCAAGUCGAGCGAACAGAGAAGGAGCUUGCUCCUUCGACGUUAGCGGCGGACGGGUGAGUAACACGUGGGCAACCUACCUUAUAGUUUGGGAUAACUCCGGGAAACCGGGGCUAAUACCGAAUAAUCUGUUUCACC
rnacentral:rRNA from 1 species